ACGGAGGGGGCUAGCGUUGUUCGGAAUUACUGGGCGUAAAGCGCACGUAGGCGGCGAUUUAAGUCAGAGGUGAAAGCCCGGGGCUCAACCCCGGAACAGCCUUUGAGACUGGAUUGCUUGAAUCCGGGAGAGGUGAGUGGAAUUCCGAGUGUAGAGGUGAAAUUCGUAGAUAUUCGGAAGAACACCAGUGGCGAAGGCGGCUCACUGGACCGGCAUUGACGCUGAGGUGCGAAAGCGUGGGGAGCAAACAGG
rnacentral:rRNA from 1 species